UACGGAGGGUGCAAGCGUUGUUCGGAUUUACUGGGCGUAAAGGGCGCGUAGGCGGCACCGCAAGUCGACUGUGAAAUCUCCGGGCUUAACUCGGAAAGGUCAGCCGAUACUGCGGGGCUAGAGUGCAGAAGGGGCAACUGGAAUUCUCGGUGUAGCGGUGAAAUGCGUAGAUAUCGAGAGGAACACCUGCGGCGAAGGCGGGUUGCUGGGCUGACACUGACGCUGAUGCGCGAAAGCUAGGGGAGCGAACGGG
rnacentral:rRNA from 1 species